rnacentral:rRNA from 1 species
UACGUAGGGGGCUAGCGUUAUCCGGAAUUACUGGGCGUAAAGGGUGCGUAGGUGGUUUCUUAAGUCAGAGGUGAAAGGCUACGGCUCAACCGUAGUAAGCCUUUGAAACUGGGAAACUUGAGUGCAGGAGAGGAGAGUGGAAUUCCUAGUGUAGCGGUGAAAUGCGUAGAUAUCUGAAGGAACAUCAGUGGCGAAAGCGACUUCCUGGACCAAUACGUGACGCUCAUGUGCGAAAGCGUGGGGAGCAAACAGG